GAUGCAGAUGGGCAGCUCCUACUAUUGAUAUCAGAGGAGUUCAAUCCAGUGCAGUAAGCCCAUUUCUCAUAGGCAGCUCUUAUUAAAGCUGUGGAAAGAGUUGAGAUGAUUCAUCUGGCAGAGACAGAGAAGAUGUUGAUGAAUGGCACAUUCGGAGUGUAAUGGAUGGCAUGGAGGAACUGGCAUCCCACCUGGAACUGAACAGGGAUCCUGACCCGGUCAGGAGGCCAGUAUAACAGAAGGAGCAGAGUAGAUAAUUUAUUGGGGACAUUUUCUUUCCCCACUAUGCUAGGUGGCAGCCUUCCCAGGUUUAAGAAGCCAACAUGAACGCCCACAGGGCAUGCUGGGACUUGUAGUCCAGUGAGGCAGGCCUGUUGGGUUCUGUGGGGGCUACUAGGGGAGCUGAAGGGAUUCGCAAUCCCUACUUUUUAGGACUUCCUUUUGGCUAUACCCUGGCACCAGAAGUACUCCUGGGUCUGAGAUAAAAAUAAAAGCUGCUCAACUUCAUAUUGGAGAGAGAUGGAGUCGGGUGGAAGCAGACAAAGCUUUUGUGGAGGAGAGGAAAGAGUCUGAAAAAUUGUACUGUGUGUGGUGUGUGCCUCUUGAAAUCUUUUGCUAAAUGUCACCAUUCUAAGAUCACAUUUGAUUAAUAAAAUAAUUUUGGUGUAAAUACAUUUUUA